GCUGGCGGCGUGCCUAAUACAUGCAAGUCGAGCGAACAGAUAAGGAGCUUGCUCCUUUGACGUUAGCGGCGGACGGGUGAGUAACACGUGGGUAACCUACCUAUAAGACUGGAAUAACUCCGGGAAACCGGGGCUAAUGCCGGAUAACAUUUAGAACCGCAUGGUUCUAAAGUGAAAGAUGGUUUUGCUAUCACUUAUAGAUGGACCCGCGCCGUAUUAGCUAGUUGGUAAGGUAACNGCUUACCAAGGCAACGAUACGUAGCCGACCUGAGAGGGUGAUCGGCCACACUGGAACUGAGACACGGUCCAGACUCCUACGGGAGGCAGCAGUAGGGAAUCUUCCGCAAUGGGCGAAAGCCUGACGGAGCAACGCCGCGUGAGUGAUGAAGGUCUUCGGAUCGUAAAACUCUGUUAUUAGGGAAGAACAAAUGUGUAAGUAACUGUGCAC
rnacentral:rRNA from 2 species